AUUGAACGCUGGCGGCAGGCCUAACACAUGCAAGUCGAGCGAGCGGCGGACGGGUGAGUAAUGUCUGGGAAACUGCCUGAUGGAGGGGGAUAACUACUGGAAACGGUAGCUAAUACCGCAUACCAUCAGAUGUGCCCAGGGCGGAUUAGCUAGUUGGGGGGGUAACGGCCUACCAAUGCGACGAUCCGUAACUGGUCUGAGAGGAUGAUCAGUCACACUGGAACUGAGACACGGUCCAGACUCCUACGGGAGGCAGCAGUGGGGAAUAUUGGACAAUGGGCGAAAGCCUGAUCCAGCCAUGCCGCGUGUAUGAAGAAGGUCUUCGGAUUGUAAAGUACUGUAAGCUGGGAGGCGUUACCCGCAGAAUAAGCACCGGCUAACUCCGUGCCAGCAGCCGCGGUAAUAC
rnacentral:rRNA from 1 species